rnacentral:rRNA from 1 species
CAGCCGCCACGGGAAUACGUAGGGUGCAAGCGUUAAUCGGAAUUACUGGGCGUAAAGCGUGCGCAGGCGGUUUGUUAAGACAGAUGUGAAAUCCCCGGGCUCAACCUGGGAACUGCAUUUGUGACUGGCAAGCUAGAGUCUGGCAGAGGGGGGUGGAAUUCCGCGUGUAGCAGUGAAAUGCGUAGAUAUGCGGAGGAACACCGAUGGCGAAGGCAGCCCCCUGGGCCAACACUGACGCUCAUGCACGAAAGCGUGGGGAGCAAACAGGAUUAGAUACCCCAGUAGUCCCUGUCUCUUAUAU